CUCUUUCCUUGCAAAAUGGCGGCGACGGCGCCCAGCGCGGCUCCUCCCGCGGCGGCCCCGCCGCAGAGCCCACCAGCGGCUCCAGCCGCCCCGACCGGGAGCGCUCCCCCCGCGGCCGCGCCAGCCCCGCCCGCCGCCCCGGCCCCGCCGCCGCCGGCCCCGCCGCUGUCAGCCGCGCUCUCGGGCCCGUUCCCCGGCGGCCGCGUGGUGCGGCUGCACCCGGUCGUGCUCGCCUCCAUCGUGGACAGCUUCGAGCGGCGCAACGAGGGCGCGGCGCGGGUCAUCGGGACGCUGCUGGGGACCGUGGACAAGCACUCGGUGGAGGUCACCAACUGCUUCUCCGUCCCGCACAACGAGUCCGAGGAUGAGGUGGCAGUCGAUAUGGAGUUUGCCAAAAACAUGUAUGAGCUGCACAAAAAGGUGUCUCCUAGCGAGAUCAUCUUGGGCUGGUAUGCAACAGGUCAUGACAUCACGGAGCACUCAGUCCUGAUCCACGAGUAUUACAGCCGGGAAGCGCACAAUCCAAUCCACCUCACUGUGGACACAAGUCUCCAGAAUUCACGCAUGAGCAUUAAAGCCUAUGUCAGUGCCCCAAUGGGAGUCCCUGGUAAAACCAUGGGCGUGAUGUUCACACCCCUAACAGUGAAAUAUGUUUAUUAUGAUACAGAGCGGAUAGGAGUGGAUCUUAUCAUGAAGACUUGUUUCAGCCCUAAUCGAGUGAUUGGCUUGUCCAGCGACUUACAGCAGGUGGGCUCAGCAUCAGCCCGGAUCCAGGAUACCCUGACCAUGGUGCUGCAGUAUGCUGAGGAUGUGUUGUCUGGCAAAGUGGCUGCUGACAACACUGUUGGGCGUUUCCUGAUGGAUCUUAUUAACCAGGUGCCAAAGAUUUCACCAGAGGACUUUGAGACAAUGUUGAACAGCAAUAUCAAUGACCUACUGAUGGUAACCUACUUGGCAAACCUCACACAGUCACAGAUUGCUCUCAACGAAAAACUUCUGAGUUUAUAAAGAAACUGUUGCCAUCCUACACUUAAAGGAGCCCGAAGAAUGAGUAGAUACACUUUUCUAUGGUGUUACAAACUUCCUUGGACCGUAAUUUAAUUACCUACAUGACUGGGUUUACAUCUUUAUUUCCAUUGCCCUGAAAAAUCCCUAACAUGCUUCAGGAAAUGGGAAUGGGAAUGGCUGCAGUUCAGCUGAGCCUGAUACUUUAAAACGGAACAUGAGAAUCUUUUGUCUCCUGGGAUUACCUACUUGUAUAACAAAAUACAGCUUUAUUGUAAGAAUGUAUUUGGAAUAAAAGUUCCAUUGCAGUGGCAAGAAUGGCUUCUGUCUGGAA